AGAUUUGCCUGUGCUGCUCUGCGAGGUGCUGCAGACAUGACCGAUUUUCAGCACCAAGAAUAGAAGAAUGAAGGAUGUUCACAUCAAUCGAAAAGGGCUCAAUCUCACCAUGAUGAGUACUAAAGGAUGUAUUUUGUUGGAAGUUUGGCACAAAGAACACCUGGUUAGAAACCACAUCCCCUGGAUUCUGAUCCUGAGAAUUCGAUAUCUGAUGCUUCUCCUGAAUUUAUAAAGGAAGAGUGGUGUGUGCACAAGUGCCCACAAAUCCAUGGCCUCCAGGUUUGCAUGACUGUUUUGUUUUCAAGUGUCUGUUUACCAAUCAAAAAGGGCCAUGCACAGAGAAAAUUGGGUAACAUAAACUCAUGUAGAGUCCUGAAGGAGAAACUCAAUUCAGGAGAUAAAGUCAACUUGGACAGCGAGUCUGUUGGUGUGGUGGCCUCUGUCUUUAAGGAUUUUCUUCGAAACAUCCAAGAAAGUAUAUUUUCAUCCCAACUCUUUGAUAAGUGGCAUGGUGUUAUUGAUCAGGAGAACAAGGAAGAGAUAAUAACUGCCAUCUAGAGGCUUUUAGACCAGCUGCCAAAAGUCAAUGUUGUUCUCUUGUGAUACCUUUUGGGAGUGUUACAUAACAUUGAGCAGCAUUCCUCAGCCAAUCAGAUGACAGCUUAUAAUUUAUCCUUAGGUAUAGCCCCAAGCAUUCUUUGCUUGCCAACUCCCUGCAGCUCAGAAGUGGUAAAUGAGUUCACCACAAAGGUUUCUAUUGUACAAUUUCUCUUUGAAAACUGCCUCAGCAUAUUUGGAGAAGACAUCACUUCCCUCUUGGAGAAGAGCUCAAUGACUUGUGAAAACAGUGAUGCUUCAGGUACCUUGAAAAAUUCAGCUGGUUUUGAUGAGAAACAGUGAGUGGGGCUCCCAGGAGUCAUGACAGAUGCUUAGACAGCGGCUGUCCUGGAGUCCAGGGCAAGCCCCAGGCACAAUGAUGCAGGACCCAGGACUCCAUCUGCUCAUUCUUCAUAAUAUUGGCUCACAGGUCAUCUGCUGAGAAGGUCAUCUGCUCCUCCUUCACUGUGCUCACUGAAUGAGGACAUUCCAAGAUCCCAGCUCAUCCCAUUUGAGCUUUCAUUUUCCUAAUCCCAUGCAUCUGUGUUCAGGAAAAUCUUCCCACAUGAUAUUCUAUCUUCCCACAUGAUCUUCUAUCUUCCCAUUUCUUCCAUGCUGUAUUACUUUUUUAUUAUUAAUAAUAAAUGCACAUAUUGUGUACA